rnacentral:tRNA from 1 species
GCUAACGUAGCUUAAUUAAAAGCGUGGCACUGAAGAUGCCAAGACAAAAAUUAACUUUUUUCGCCAGCA